rnacentral:rRNA from 1 species
UGUUUCGGCAAGGGGGUCAUCCCGACUUACCAACCCGAUGCAAACUGCGAAUACCGGAGAAUGUUAUCACGGGAGACACACGGCGGGUGCUAACGUCCGUCGUGAAGAGGGAAACAACCCAGACCGCCAGCUAAGGUCCCAAAGUCAUGGUUAAGUGGGAAACGAUGUGGGAAGGCCCAGACAGCCAGGAUGUUGGCUUAGAAGCAGCCAUCAUUUAAAGAAAGCGUAAUAGCUCACUGGUCGAGUCGGCCUGCGCGGAAGAUGUAACGGGGCUAAACCAUGCACCGAAGCUGCGGCAGCGACGCUUAUGCGUUGUUGGGUAGGGGAGCGUUCUGUAAGCCUGUGAAGGUGUGCUGUGAGGCAUGCUGGAGGUAUCAGAAGUGCGAAUGCUGACAUAAGUAACGAUAAAGCGGGUGAAAAGCCCGCUCGCCGGAAGACCAAGGGUUCCUGUCCAACGUUAAUCGGGGCAGGGUGAGUCGACCCCUAAGGCGAGGCCGAAAGGCGUAGUCGAUGGGAAACAGGUUAAUAUUCCUGUACUUGGUGUUACUGCGAAGGGGGGACGGAGAAGGCUAUGUUGGCCGGGCGACGGUUGUCCCGGUUUAAGCGUGUAGGCUGGUUUUCCAGGCAAAUCCGGAAAAUCAAGGCUGAGGCGUGAUGACGAGGCACUACGGUGCUGAAGCAACAAAUGCCCUGCUUCCAGGAAAAGCCUCUAAGCAUCAGGUAACAUCAAAUCGUACCCCAAAC